AUGGUCUCGUUGGCACGGAGCAGUUGUUGGCGGCUGCACAGCGUGCAGCACAAGCGCCUCACAAGAGAAACAGCAACCACUGCAUGUGUGGCAGGAUGGUGUUGGAGGAAGCUACUCGCAUCAACUGAAGACGGAGAUAUGGCGGACAGUGACGCUACCCAACCAGACUGACAAAUAAAUUUAGCAAGACUGAAA